rnacentral:lncRNA from 1 species
UUAACAGUACAUAAAUAGUUGUUCGUGUCUUACCUAUGAUCCCAGAUCCUAAAAUGGAGUUAAUAUAGUUGAAUGACACCUUGACAGUGGAGCUUCCAUGUUUUGCGACAUUCUGGAGAAAAGAGUAGAUAAACACUGAAUGAGAAUAUAUAUUUGUAUUACCAAUGGAGAGCUCUGGGAGUCGGUGGAAGAUGCCUUGAACAUAGUUUGAUUGUCAACAAAAUGAAACAACAACUGUUUAUAGUUGUUUAUUAUUGCUAUUGAGUCUUUAUUAUUGUAGAGAUCGGUACUAUUGUUAAACAGAUGUAUAUUAUGUGUAAGAACUAAUAAAGAGAAAAUGGAUGUUUCAA